rfam:Dethiosulfovibrio peptidovorans DSM 11002 ctg1, whole genome shotgun sequence.
UGUGCUAUACUUGAUCGAGAAAAUAGAAUAUCCGACAUCUCUAGAUAAGGGAAUCCGGUUAGACUCCGGAGCGGCCCCGCCACUGUAAGUUCGAAUUUCGAACGAGCCAGAAUGCUGUUCUCGAGAUGACGAUGUGU